UCGAGAAGCUUCGGCAAUGGGCGAAAGCCUGACCGAGCGACGCCGCGUGAGCGAUGAAGGUCCUAUGGAUUGUAAAGCUCUGUCAGAUUGGGAAGAAAACUUCGCGAUUAAUACCCGCGAAGCUUGACGGUACCAUCAGAGGAAGCACCGGCUAACUCCGUGCCAGCAGCCGCGGUAAUACGGAGGGUGCGAGCGUUGUUCGGAUUCACUGGGUAUAAAGGGUGCGUAGGCGGCCUGGUAAGUCAGGGGUGAAAUAUGACGGCUCAACCGUCAAACUGCCCCUGAAACUGCAAGGCUUGAGUCCGGGAGAGGAAGGUGGAAUUCCUGGUGUAGCGGUGAAAUGCGUAAAUAUCAGGAGGAACACCGGUGGCGAAGGCGGCCUUCUGGUCCGGUACUGACGCUGAGGCACGAAAGCUAGGGGAGCGAACA
rnacentral:rRNA from 1 species